AACCAGCACCUCAAGUGGUCAGGAUGAUUAUUGGGCCUAAAGCAUCCGUAGCCGGCUCUGUAAGUUUUCGGUUAAAUCUGUACGCUCAACGUACAGGCUGCCGGGAAUACUGCAGAGCUAGGGAGUGGGAGAGGUAGACGGUACUCGGUAGGAAGGGGUAAAAUCCUUUGAUCUAUUGAUGACCACCUGUGGCGAAGGCGGUCUACCACGUAUAUACUGACGCUCAUGGACGAAAGCGUGGGGAGCGAACAGG
rnacentral:rRNA from 1 species